rnacentral:lncRNA from 1 species
UUGGUGGCUCUUACUCAGCUGGAACUGUAGUCAAUGAAGACCUAGAAAAGCAAGGAUGUCAUCCUUUUUAUGAAUCAGUCAUGGCGAAUCCCUUUGUUGCUGAGUCUGGCAUGCCCUUCGACACCUGUCAGCAGCCCCCUGUGGAGAGCUUUGCCAAGGGAGGUGCUGCUGAGGACUGGGAAACUGGCAGAGGCCGAGACAGAUGGGAAUGAAGGGUUUCCGACCACAGAAGUUCUCCUGCAGCUGGCGAGUGAUGCUUUGCCCAGUGACAUGACCUUGGCCCUCGCUUACCUCCUCGCCUUACCACAGGUGUUAGAUGCGAACAGGUACUUUGAGACGCAAGCACACUCAGCCCUGUCCCUCCAGCUGGCAGUGUACUACUACAGCCUCCAGAUCUACGCCCACCUGGUGCCUGGCUUCAGUGACAAGUGCCACCCUCUGUACAGAGCUGACCCCAAAGAGGUGAUCGGGAUGGUCACCAGGCACGUGACUCACUGUGGACUCAAAGCCUGGCCGGAGGCCCUGGCCCCACUCACCGCGCAGCUGCACCACUACAAUGAGCAGCUUCUGGACUUAACACAGGCACAGCUCCUGCAGGGCCUGGGGAAGGGCGUGGACGUGCAGCGCUUCACCACUGAUGACCAGUACAAGAGGGAGACCAUCCUUGGGCUGGCAGAAACGCUAGAGGAGACCGUGCAUAGCCUUGUGCUCUCCCUGCUCAGCGCUGCGGCAUCUCCUGCUGGGAAGUGUUCAUGA